GCGCCGCCACGUCCCGGUACUCGGCACGCGAGGCGAAGAACGACUCCUCGCGCCUGGCGAGCGUGGGCGGGUUGCCGGGUUAUUGUUGGGGCAAAGGUGCUUAUGGUUGGCCCCCGUUGCGCAUGCCGUGUUAUUGUCUGCACCUCCCAGGGCCUGCCCAUUCUUCCAACCUCCCGCCAAGUAGCCAGGCGCCCCGAUCCGCUCCUGGCACACCUGUCCCGCCCUCCCGCGCUGCCCCACCCCACUUCCCCCGCCUCUGCCCACCCCUGCCCUCACUUGCGGCACUCGGACAUGGGCAGCUUGGCCGCGAUGUCGGCCUGCGCGCGCAGCACCACCCCGAUGUAGCCCAGCCGCAGCGGGAUGUGCGCGUUGCGCAGGAUGUGCGCCGCGUCCGUGCCGCGGUCCAUGAUGUCCAGCUUGGUCAGCACGCCUGCCGGGGUGCGGUGUUUCCAUGUUGGGACGUGAGACGCCGCCGCGUGGGCACGGGGUUUGCAGUAGUCAUGCGCAUACGGCGCAGCGUCGCCCCGGCCACCCCCGUACUCCAUACCGCCAUGCGGCGCAGUCCACGCGUUGGCCCCUCCCUGCACUACAUCUUAUCAGUCCCCCAGUGUCUGGUCCGCGCCCUGCUGCGCUGUGCCGCGCCGCGCCCCGCUCACCGAUGGUGCGCACGCCCUCUGGGUCCGCCACCUGCGACAGCUGCAGCGCGUCGCUGGUGGCCAGGUCCACGUUGGCGGGCGACACCGCCAGGAUGAUGCAGUUGGGCCUGUGGCGAGGCGCAGCGGGCCGCGGCACAGCGGGGGCGGCACAGUUAGAAACGCCCGGCAACGCGCAGUGGGCUUGUGCCGCCAGCCCCAUCUGCAGCAAGUCCCGCACUGUGCUCGUGGUAUUGCAAGCCGAGUGGCGAGGCCGGGCCGCCGGGCUCGCACAUGCUUGCAGCUCCACUGCCGCUGCGGCGUGCUGCUGUGCGGGGCAAGGGAGCGGGCGGCCCGGGGCGCACCUGCGGAUGUACUCCAGCGCCAUCUCGCGAAUGCGCUGCUCGAUGUCUCCCGGCUGGUCGCCCACCGGCACACGCGUCAGGCCGGGCAGGUCCACUAGCGUCAUGGUGCUGCGCAGGGCAGCCCAUGGCGGCAGGCGGACAGGCGGGCGUUGGCCAAAGGGUGAGCAAUGGCGAGGCUUCGCUUCAGCUGCGCGUCAAGUGAUGACGGCACAGCAACACUGGUACACGCGAGAAGCCUGGGGCCACUCACAGCACGCGGGGGCUGAAGAUCUUUAGGCGGAUGGGCUUGUCGCUGACGUUUUUGUUGUAGCCCACCAGACGCUCCGUCUCCUGGUGGAUUUCAUCUCUGCGCGAAUGUGGCAGCGGCAGAAGGCACCCAGUAACCAAUUUCAGCUUACGUGCGCAUGCGGGCGCGCAAACCUGCGCCAGUGUGCUCGUUUACAGCUCCUACGCAAUGCCCACAGCCGCGGGCACGCACCGGAUGCGGUCGAAGUCAUAGAACAUCUUCCCGGGCGCGUGCAGGAACUCGCCCCAUUCCGACGGCCUGCCGGUGGGCCCAGGCGUUGUCUUCACCAGCUGCAGCAGCAGCGGCCGCCGCGUGACGAUGUCAUUGCCACGAGGCAGGAAGUCUCGUCCCACCUGAACAGAAGGAGGCAUGGUGGAGGAGUCUAGCGGGGCGGGACAGGCGCAGGUGCUCGGGAACCUAACGCUAGUCCUGCGCCGCCAAACAUGGCGUGCUGCUCUAAGGGGGGCUCGCCUUUUGCCCAACCUUGGUACUAUUUCUGAGCUACGCUGUCACACGUUGCUUCCCUUCCAUGCCCACCGUGUCUGCCACUCAACUACCCACUGUACAAUCUCUUACGGACAGAGUGUUCAGUAUCCAUAGCGUACUGAACCACGGCUGUGUUGCAGCCCUGCAUCAGUCCGUGCGCCCGCGCCUGCGUGCCUACACACGCAAACACCGUACAGGCCUCCACAGCUGUCGCCACUCACCAGCGCCUCCAGCACGCUACUCUUUCCACUGCUCUGGCUUCCAACGACCGCGACUUGAGGGAGGUCGAGCUUAAGGUCGACAGUCACCUGAACAGUGCAGCGCAAAGCGCAGUAGGUUGGGAUGCGCGAAGUUGGGGCUGCGACUACCCGCAGUUGUGCACUAGGCGCGGGUAGACACAAGCAACGGCUGGAGUAAAACACAUACGUACGCUGCCAACAAGCACGCGCUGGCCUGCUGGAAGCAAAGCACACGACACAAAGAACACACCUGCGCGAAGAUAUCCUGCAGCUUGUUGACUAUCGGGAUCAGCGAGUUGCCCAGCGUGUCGUCUGCCGCCGGGUCGGGAGCCAUGUUUGCUGCCGCUGCAGGCCCGGAAGAAAAUUGCGCGAUUCCCUCCGUGUAUUCCCGCCUCGCCCCCCCGCCGUUAAGCUAGAUCGGUUAUUUCUGCUUAAGCAGAUACAAGAGUGAAACGGUGUUGUGUGAGCAACGCCUCGUCGCUGUGUGCGUGAAAAUGUGCAACGCAAAGAGGCAACGCAAAAAACAGCCCUAUUCCGCACGUGUCUUUAUCUUAUUUUAUGUUUAUGUGCAACUUCAAGCACAUGCAGUUUGCUUAGGGCUUGUGGGGCUUGGGGCCCUGGUGUUGCACCAUCGCAGCCCCGGUUCAGUUGCCCUAGCUCCCGGCCGCACGCACGUUGUUUUAUUUACAUAAGCUGAAACGACACAGCUCUACAUUGGAAUCCUGAUUGAAUCAGGCGUUUAUUCCCAGGACCCGCGCCGAAAGGAAAAUGGGCGACACCUUCACCGACGACCUGAAGGGGAAGGUGGUGCGCCAGGUAUGUGACAUUUAUAGAGCCUCAACAGUAAUAAUAGGAAUCGAAAGCGUCGGAACACCUGCCGCCGGCGCCGGCGAGGCCAUGCUGCGCUGCACUCAACACUUGCACUGCCGCCUCUUUUCGUGUGGCCAUAGAUUGAGUUUUAUUUCUCGGACAGCAACCUGCCCAAGGACAAGUUCCUGAAGGAGCGCAUUGCGGAGGACCCCAAUGGCUGUGAGUGCGGGGGUUGAAGCAGCUCGGAACAGGGCCGGUGGCCACAGCCGCAACAGGGUGGACUCUUCUUGCCACGGUAGCGCAGAGUAUUUGACGGGCAUGCCUGGGCGAGGCCGCCCCACGCGCGGGCAACCUUCUAUUCGGUAUGUCCCCCGCCAGUCCUCACUUGCGUCCUUCCUCUUGCCACAGUCGUUCCGCUGAACGUCAUUUGCGCGUUCCAGCGCAUGCGUGACCUGAUCGGCGUAAGUUUGCCACAGACGCUGCUGGCUGUUUUGUGUACGUAUCUGCGCCAGCGGCCAACCCUGGACAGGGGGACUCAUGUAGGGGGCUUAGGCGGCAAGGGUUGCGUGGGGCAUGCUCCAACCCCUACCAGAUAUCAUCCCUUCUCUUGACGCAACUCGUUCGUAACUGCUCCACAGGUCAAGUCCCAGUCGCCGGACGCAGUGCCUGCCGACAAGCUGCAGCAGGUGGCUGAGGCGCUGGCGGGCUCGGAGUCGCUGGAGGUGGACGAGAGCAAGACCAAGGUCAAGCGGAAGCAGGUGAGGAACAAACAAACUCUCAAGCAGGCCGGCAGCAGCCCUCAAGUUGCGUAGGUACCGUAUCAUCUCGGGGCGCAUACCCGUACCUUCUUACAGCCCCCUUCCACCAGCCCGCCGGCCUCCCGCCCACACCCCUGCCCUCACCCACCACUCCACUCCCCGCUCCUGCUCGCCGCCCCCGCCCCUUGCCGCAUGCGCCCCUAGCCCCUGGCUCCCGAGGCGGAGAUCGCCAAGGCGGUGGACGCGCGCAGCCUGUACGCGCGGCCCUUCCCCAUGGACGCCACCGUGGACACCAUCACCGAGCUCUUCAACGGGCACGGCACCGUCAACUGCGUGCGCAUGCGGCGCCACGUGCGCAGCAAGAUGUUCAAGGGGUCGGUGUUCGUGGAGUUCAGCAGCGUGGAGGAGGCGGAGAAGGUGCGUGAGCGUGGAGGAGGCGAGAAGGCGGGGAGGACGGGGGUUGGGACGAGCGGUCGCAGGGGGUUGGAAGAGCGGUUGCAGGCGAGCGUGCUGGCGCCGUGCUUCGCCAGCCUGCGCUUUGUCGUUGAAGCUGACGCGAAAGGACGCUUUGCGAUCGCAGGUGCUGGCCAAGGCGGUUGAGUUCGCGGGCGCCACACUGCGUCUGCAGAAGAAGAACGACUAUCUGGAGGGCAAGCGCAAGGCACGCAAGGCAGCGGGCGGACAUGUGAGGCGGCGAUUGAAGCGGGCGGGCACGGGGACCGUCACGGCAGGGGAUGGGGUGGCUACAGGAUGGGGGUGGCAGGGGUGUGCAAGGUAGGGAUGUACAAGGCCCCGAUACGACCAGAGCUGAAUCCUUGGGGGAAGGACCUGGUGGUUACCGCAGAUCUUACCCGACCUCAACUGGUCAUGCCUGGACCCCCCUACCCCGCCGCGCUGCCGCAGCAAAACUCGUCAUUACAUUUUGUGCAAACGUCCCGCCUCCACCCACACAGAACGUCGGCUACGAGUCGGACGACAGCAAUGCCGGCCAGGGCCUGCCGGACGGUGCUGGCGGUGAGGUGGGCGGCGAGGUAGUGGAGAGCGCCAAGGCCAAGAUCAGGGAGGCACCCAAGUCGGUGGACAGGCGGCAGGGGCAGGGGCAAAAGCGCAAGCAGGUGCGCGCUCGGGAGCUCACGGGUGCAGUCGGCUUGCGGGUGCAGUCGGCGAUGCCAUGGAAAUCUUACCGGGGGCUUGGCGUCCUCUCCGGUCGUCGUCCCUGAGCCAGUCAGCCAAAGGCAGUAUAGCACAGGACGGGGGUUCGGCUGGGUCGGAUGAAGCUAUGCCGUCAGCGACCUGGUGGCAAACCCUGACUCCUCAAGCUCACUUCCGCUGCUGGUCCACUCCACAGGAGGCUCCUGAGUACGACGAGGGCGACCUGGGCGAGGGGCCGCGCUCCAAGCGGCCCAAGCAGGAGGGAGAGGAGGCGGGGGCAGCGGCGGGCGAUGAGGACAUGGGCGAGGGCGACGGCGAGGGCGAGGAGGAGGAGGCCCCGGAGCCGGCGGAGCCCACCUUCACGCCGGGUGCGUGUGCCAUGGCGAGCGGCGUGUGCUUGAGGAGCGAAAUGACAAGGGCCCGGAGUUGAAACCGUGCAUGCAAGCAUGCAUGUGCGUGUAUGUGUGGUGUUGAAUCUGUCAAGCAACAGGAGAGGGCGGGUUGGGAGCGCCUCGUGUCGAGUGUUGGGGAGAAGGCGCACGGAACAGGGAGUUGGACUACAGCCACAGGUUGGGACUUGCGGACAGACAGCCCAAGGAUCAAGGUAGCGCUUCCGUGCCACCACCUCACUCGGUCUCGUGCAAUUUGGUGUUGACGCGUUGCGCAGGCUGCCUGAUCUCGUUCACGCUUGAAGCGGAGCUGCCGGAGCUCACGGGGCCCCGCGUCAUCUCGGACGUUCUGGGCGGCCGCGACAAGGUCAAGUUCGUGGAGGUAAGCGGCAGUAGCGGUGUCAUGGUGUAGGGCAGCAUAUGGUGCAUGGCACAUUCCAGGGCGUACAAACCAGCAGGCGGGGUUUCAGUCUGUAGGAGCGUUCUUUUGUUUGUCUGACGAUUGCCGUUGCCUACCCACCGCAGCUGCUCGAGGGACGCAAGGGCGGCUUCCUGCGCUUCGCCACGCCUGAGCUGGCGGCGGCGGCGCUGGCGGAGUUUGAGGGCCGGCCCGAGGACGAGCGGGCCAUUGCCGGCAUCAAGGGCACCAUGACCAAGACCGAGGGCGACGAUGAGGUCAACUACUACAAGCGGGUGAGUCUUUGAGUUAGCUGCAUGCCGUCGGGGUGAAGCUUUGGCAGGAUGCUCUGCAGAUGCUGUGCAGCAUUUGCAAGGUUGGGAUGGGCGGGGUUUGACAAAGGCGCAGGGCACCCAACCAUUCAGCAAUGCCUGUUUGACCCUCGUCACUGCAAAACAGGCGCAAGCGGCGCACGCAGCGAAGGAGGCCCGGAACGGUGGUGGCGGCGGCGGCGGCCGUGGCGGUUUCCGUGGAGGCCGCGGUGGUUUCCGUGGAGGGCGCGGCGGGCGCGGCGGGCGUGACGGCGGGCGCGGGCGUGGUCGCGGUGGGCGCGGCCGUGGCCGCGGGCGCGGGCGGCACUGAAUACCGAAGCUAACUGGCGACAGUCAGGGAACGGCAUCCAGGAGUUGUUGGUAGGCUCUGCGCCGCUUGCCCAUGAAGGCGUUUCCUGAUUGUCAGUGUCUUGCGCCAGCUUCGAAGGCAGGCGGGACCAGGUGUGAGUGCAGCAGGCGACGUUGGUACACGCUGCUUUGGAUUGUCCGGGGGGAGGAGGUAAGUAGAUAGGAUGGCCCGCAGGCUAUGCCAAGCAAGGUCAUUGGCGGGAUGGAGGUUUGGCGAUGGGAAAAAAUAGUAUAAUGGCGGUUCUAGGACAGCUCCGACUAACCCCCAACUAACUCGUGUACGGCACCCCAAACCCCCUCAGCCGUACAGGAGGUAGCGUGGCAGUCGGCAGCUGCGCGAGUGUGAGCAGGUCGUUGUACGGCGGCCCGGCUCGGAAGCUACCUGACUGUAGUAACGCACACGGGUCGUUGGCGGUUGUCGGCAGGCACGUGAGUGGGAGCUGGCAGUUGGGCGAACACGUGUGUGGGAAGCUGCGUCUGAGCACGGUGGAACACGGCGGAGGCUGGCGGUUGGCGUGGCGUGUGAGUGGGAGUGCAUAGUCGUGCGCGCGCCGUCUAGGAAGCUGCGUGUGUGAGCUGUGUGUAAACUCAGAGGGAAGCAUGGGGCUGACCCCUGUCCAUAGGCUGCCUCUAAGCGCACACGUUUUCACACGGUUGACAGUUGGGCUGCAGCGCGGGUGGGACUCGCUGGAGUGCAUGAGAGUCGCUGGAGUGCACGCGCGGGCGGGGCGCAGGGAAACUCAGCGGAAAGUCGGCGAAAACUCGACAGAAACUCGCGAGAAACUCAGCCGAAACUCGGGCGAAAGUCCGGCAAAACUCCGGACAUUGGCGCACUGUUCGGACCGUUCCGUUCAACUUUCGACGCUUCAGCUUCAGCGCUUCCGAAAUCUCUGCAUGUAAUUGCAGUCCACUCUUUACCAUUCUCCGCUUCUCGCUCCUGCUUGGCACACAGCACCAUAUAUAUCUGAAGGCCUCAGACCGCGGGCACGGUGCAGUGCGUGGCAUUGCAAACCUUACAACAGAGGAUACAACAGACACGUUUGCAAGUCAAAGAGUUUCGCCAUGGCCAUGUGCACUACAAGUGUUGCUCAACACAGCAACCUGCAACUCCUGAUCUAACUCAUCCCCAGGGGAGCUGCCACCCAACCAUGAUCAUCCCCAGCCACUCAUCCGCCAGCGCCGAAACCUUGCUGCACGUCUCGAACGCGGGCGCCAUCCCCAGCACGGCGAUGAUGUCCGGUGCGGGCAGGGUGAAGCUGAAGGCGACCCAGCAGAGCCCAAUGAUGGCUUUCCGCGUCUGCAAAUAGGGGUGCACCAUCAACUAGGGUUGUGAUGAGACCCCUUGCCACAUGACGCCAACCAGCCGCUUGGAGAGAGCUGCGGCCGCACGAGCGUAGUAACCCCACAUGCACGCAGCGAGGACGAGAGCCGACCACCCUGCCACCUGCGCAAUCGUGAAUACCAGCUUUCAACACACGCAACUGAUACGACACAAUGGGCAGGGAAUGAUGCAACAGGCUCUGCUAAACUCAUCUCCCUGAUUCAUGAUAAACUCAUCUCCCCCUUAACAGACACUCACUGCAGCGUUUCCCUUCUUGUUGUCCGCCAGCGUCUGCUCCGCCCCCGUCGCCUUCUCCGCCUUAUCUGCCGCCACUUUCGCCACCCGCGCCCGCGACGCAGCCGCCUCCGCCUCCGCCUGCACUCUCGCCACCUCCGCCUUCUCCUUCUCCUCUGCCACCUUCGCUGCCGCUUUUGCCGUCUCCGCCUCGGCCUCCGCCUUGGCCGCCUCCGCUACCGCCUUGGCCGCCUCCGCCUCCGCUAUUGCCGCCUCCGCCUUCGCCGGCUUCCCCGCCGCCCGCACCUGGUGCAGAAGGCGCAGCUGGCGCUCUGCCGCGGGCGAAGCGGCGGCAGCCGGCCGCGGCGCGGCAAAGCACGCCGCUGCCGUCACGCCGGUCACGAUUGCCCGACGACAGUUUCCCUAUGAACGGUGUGCAAGCACAUAACCAGGCGCAAAUAUAUGUUGCCGCAUGCCGAAGCUGAGAUGCGACGUGGGGAGGACGCGAAUGACUCAGGGCGACAACCUCAGGGCGCCAUUGUCGGGCAGCUAUCUUUGAGGCACCUUAAAUACAGUGACAUACCGGUGGAACGCCCAGCGCCCGGAGCCGCUGGGCCCACGGCAUGGCUGGUGACCGACUUUCAAGCAGGCCAGGUCCUCAAAGAUGGAUGGGCGUUAAAAGUGCGUGUCGAAGCCGCGAUGCAAAGCGAUGAACUGAAGCAUAAACUACAGCAAGGCCGCGUGCUUUGUACCUCGCUAUCUAGACUGGUAUGGGCAGAAUGGCAUUAUCCGAUAACUAUCAAAUAACGCAAGGCGCACGUCAGCUUGAGCGAAUUACGGCCCGCCACGCUCCAGUCCUGACGCCAUGGGGGCCAAGGUUGCCACGCCCCAGGGGUGAUGCUAACAGUACUUGAUGGCGUGGGCACGCUGGCGGCGGGCUGCAGAGCUGCGUGCGCUGCAUGGUUGCGGGCUACUGCCUUGGAGGGUGUGUAAUCCAGUGCAGAUGUAUGAAGGGUAUGCUCAUCAUGUACAACAUCAGCACCUGUUUGGGAGGCCACCAGGGUCAUCAUCCAAACGGGCGUGACACCGGCGCCAAAUGCGUCCGGGGGAAUCAGGUUGCCGUCAAUGCCCACCAGCCUAAAGUUGUGCAGCUUGCCGCGCAGAAUGGAGGCGUUUCCCACCCGGAUGCCUAGCAGGUUGCUGGGAAUGAUGCGUGUGAAUACUGAGCCAACCAUGGGCAUCAUCUGGUACCCCGCGCUCUUGGUGAGUGAUGAGUAGGAGUUGCCCUGGGUGAGGGUGUUGCUCUCAAUAAAGGAUGGCGGGCUAUGCUCGCAAGGUCAUUUGGCGGGAUGGAGGCGAUGGGCGGUAUUGCUGUAGCAGGACCUCGGAUACGUGCAGAGCCGGUUACGCGCGGAGCACAGGCACAAGUGAUGAGGCAACACUUCGCCUGUGGGGCUGUUUUGCAAUGAAAUAGCUGAAGUGGCUGUCUGUCCUCUCCCACGCUCCCACCAAUCAAACCAAAACAGAAGUAGGGCUGGACAGAAUGUCAGAAUCGCAGUGCAGUGCACGGUUCUCGCACGUUGCUACUGUGUACUGUUGCACUACUUGUUGGGUCACUUUUUACUGGGGCUAUAGGGCACCGCUGCUCCUCACCACGACUGGUCCACGGUACCCACGCAUCAAGUGAAGCCCGGACUCCGGAGCGACGUGGCGAAGCGCACGCAUUUGCUGCUUCAAUCCUCUGAACAGUUAAAUUCGGUAAGCCCGCUUCUCCUGUCGAGAAAGAGUCACCCUUCUUGUUUUGCUGACUAGUGACUGCACCUGACUGCAGAGCCUUACACCCCAGCAAUCCCUCCUCCGCACGUAGGGAUCGGACAUGCUCACACGGCCAGACGUUACACAACAGCGCUAGGCGGCGCAUGGUACCAUGGGUGCCAUAGCUAGCGGCCGCGCGAGUUUCUUGUCACUCGGAUUUUAUCUUCUCGCCUCUUGAUCGCCUCGUCCCUGCGUCAGCUCCAUGGCCACGAUGCUGGCCGUGCAUCCCAUGCGCAGCCAGGCGCCUCCGCUGGGACGUUCUACCUCAACCACCACACGUUACUGUACACUGCUAGGGCAAAACUGACGCCGUGAAACGGACGUGCCUCCUCAUGUCGAGCCGCGGCGAGCCCAUUUACAGAGCGCCAAUGCCCUUCAGGCCCAGCACAAUGCCAACGCCCAGACCGUGGCCAGCAGCGCCCAUGGCCAGCACGUCCACAAUGGUGAAGCCUGCGGAGAGGGGACCGGGCGAAGGGUCACAUACGUGACUAGUUCGUGCUUUCAUUGCCGAGGGUGACGGCGUUAAUGAGCUAACGUUUGGGUACACAUCUUGCCCUGUGUCCUUGCAUAUUUUUGUACUGCACUACGGCGGGUUUGUCCCCUCAGACCGCCAAUAACUCGAUAAGAGCGCCGUCCCGACACCUAUUUGCAGUGCCUCCCCAGGUAACGCUGCAGCUUUCCCAGCCACCUCCGGCACCCAACAUGCAUCGCCCACACCAACCGCCUGCCCUGACCCCAUGCCGACAACGACUCACCAGCGGGGUCGUUGGAGAUGACGCCAGCCGAGUUCUUGGAGUCCACCAGCUUCAGGCCAGCGGUGGUGUUCUUCUUCACGGUGGGGGCCAGGCCGAAGCGGGCAGCGGCCAGGGUGGCGGUGGUCGAGGCAACCAUGAUCUACAUGCACAAGGGCAGGCGAUAUUCAGGUGUCAUGGAUGCGUUCCUAAGGCCAAGGUUUGGGCUGCUCCUUUGCGAUAGUGCUCGUCACAUUUGUUUGAAUGCACUGCUUCCCAGCUGAAACACGGGCGCCACGCUGGAGCGUAGCUCCGACUAGGUGGCCAGAGGGGUAGCCAUGGGGAAGAGGCGGGCGCCGGUUGGGUCACCCGGUGUGCCCCGGAACCCACGGUCCCGUAGCCAAGAGAGGUCUCAGAUCAUAUGAAUGAAUGUGUGAUCUGACUGUAUCAUAGCUGCUCAUGCACGCUAGCGCCACUUGCGGACGCGAAGGAGCCUCCAACGAAACGAUUGUUCGGCAAAUAGGCUCCCGGCGCCACACGACGCUAGCUCACCAGGUUGGUCGACGAGCCAAUGAAGCCAUCAGCGCGCACAACCACCGAGGAGCGGCGAGCAGCCUGCGAUAGGACACCACCAAGGCCGGCCCUGGUCAGAAUGCAAGUGAAGAACAAAGAGCUCCGAAUGCAGCUGCUCCAAGAGCCUGGCGAUGGAGCAGCUGCCGACAAACAUUGACUCGCUAGCCCGCUGUGCUUCGCCGGCUGCGCUGAGCGCAAUCAUCAGCUGCACGCCACGGCGGUGCCCCUACUACUGGCGCCAGCAAUACAAAACGAGGCCAUCUGCUGAUCAACCAUGACUCUGACAAAACAUCAUCGUUCUGCUGCACAAACAUGCUGAGCCUGCCCACCU
rnacentral:lncRNA from 1 species